rnacentral:rRNA from 1 species
UACGUAGGGUGCGAGCGUUAAUCGGAAUUACUGGGCGUAAAGCGUGCGCAGGCGGUUCGUUAAGUCAGAUGUGAAAGCCCCGAGCUCAACUUGGGAACUGCAUUUGAAACUGGCGGGCUGGAGUGUGGCAGAGGGGGGUGGAAUUCCACGGUGUAGCAGUGAAAUGCGUAGAGAUGUGGAGGAACACCAGUGGCGAAGGCGGCUCACUGGCCCGGUACUGACGCUGAGGCGCGAAAGCGUGGGGAGCAAACAGG